CUCCAAACUGCACUUUCAGACCAGCACUGUGAGCUCCUUACAAGUACCCCUCGUCGUUCACUUCAGAAUUGCAGUCAGACCCACCCUAGGAGAGAAGUUCAACAUGAAAUGGCUCUUGAUAAAAUGGUUCUUCAGAUCGAUAUCUAAGGGUUUCUUAAACAUUAUGUAGUAAUAUUAGAGCAGGUUUUCUGGUCAUCUGUACCUACAUCUCCACCCUCUCCAUGUUACAACUGGCAAGCCUCUUGACCUUUUCAUGACAUCAUAUCCGGCGCUGACAGUAAAGGGCUGAGAGCGUGGUACUGCAGCUCUGCUGCUAGACCCUCCUCAUUUUAAACAUGGUACCGGAGACAUUGAGGUGCAUCAUCUCACCUCCCCAAACUUUUAAGAUUUCUCUGGCAAAAUUCUCAGCAUGAAUUGCUGGCACUCUUUUUGAAUCCCAGCACUUCUGCCGUUCUGGAUUUCACGUUAGUUGUGUCCCAGUUCAAUGCCUGCAUCCUUCAGAUGCUGCGUUUAAAGGCAGAUUACAUCACAGUGGCUCAACUAGGCUGUCCCAUUUCAAAGGCUCCUUCAUUUCCAUGGCAACAAAGGAUCCAACAGGGGGAUCCUUCACCAGCCAGCAUAUUCCAAGGUUCAUUGCAUAGCGGCAGAGAUUCAAGAACAUGGCAACAUCAGCACAGGAGCAAACGGUGGCUCAGAAGUACUUUUAAAUAGUCCCAGACUAUUUGUGGAGCUGCUGGUCUUGCAGUUCCAUGGAGGAUUGCAGUGUUUGUUCUGGACUCUGCAAUUCUCCUAUACACAAUAACACAACAGACAACCAGAGCUCCAUCUGGUAUGCAUCUGCAGCAAGGGUCACCCUGGCCGAGGUCACUGGACUCAUGCAGCAUCUUGUAUGUUCACUGAGCACUCCAUCUUCAACUUCCAGAGUUCAGGUGACAGAGGUCUCCUGCACUCGUCAGGCCUUUGUCAUCGGCCAUGAUGAGUGGACCUUCUGUGAUAACUUGGACUAAGAAGUGAUCCCUGCUGAGCCAGGCCCUCAGCCUGAAUCCAGCAUGUCUCCUGAUCCUCAGUCUGGCCCAGCUCCUACUGUUCAGAGCUUUCCUGAGAGGCCUUCAGGAUUUCUUGAUCUUCUGAUGACCCUGAAGUCCUCUUUCUCUGCAACCACACAGCAGAACAGACCAAGGAGUUCAGCUAUACCUUCUCCAGGUCCAGUGAUGCUGGUCUUUCUGGAAAGCAUCUUUACUCUGGAGGAGUCCAUGUAUGAAGCUCCUGAGUCUGUGGCAACUACUGUGUGAGAGAUUCUUGAGGACCACACAGAGGGUCUUCUAAACAGGCUGGAGGACAUCUGAACAUCCAACAGUUCAAAUUCAGUUAUUUCAGAAGCGUAAUCUCACACUGAAAAUUGUAGAAAAAUGUAACCUUUAACUCAAGUGAAUAAAAAAAAUCCCUGAUUAAAAUCAUUAUUAAAUCAUUAAACAGGUGAUUUUCUGAAAAAUAAUCUCUUUGUUAGAAUCAAUCUUUAAGCAUAAAGCAAUUAAUACGCAGGCAAUUAGUAUAAUUUAUGGACUACUUAAUUCACAUAACUAUACCUCAUUAGAGCUUCUUAAAAGUAAAUGGGAAAUGGAUCUGGGUGGAACAAUAUUAGAAGAAACAUGGUGCAAAAUAAUACAAGGAAUCUUUUCAUCUUCUAUCUGCAUGCUGUCAUUCAGUUUAAGAUUGUACACCGUUUACAUUGGUCUAAAGUUAGGCUUUUGAAGAUCAAGGCUGGUUUAGACCCUACAUGUGACUGAUGUGGGCUAGCUCCUGCUUCACAUGCUCAAAACUGUAUACCUUUUGGAACUCUAUCUUCGAGACUUUUUCAAAGGUCUCUGGGAAAGCUGUGGAGCCAUCACCAUUCAUAGCAUUGUUCAGUCCUGCUCCUAACAGACGGGAUAUAAAUGUUUGCUUUCUGUUCUCUCCUUGCCAGGAGAUUAAUUUUGUUUAAAUGGAAAGACACUAAUCCUCCAACUUACAAUCACUGGGUCAGAGAGGUCUUGUACCAUCUUAAAUUGGAAAAGAUUAGAUAUACUUUGAGAGGAUCCACUGGGAAGUUUUUUGAUAU